rnacentral:rRNA from 1 species
UACGGAGGGAGCUAGCGUUGUUCGGAAUUACUGGGCGUAAAGCGCGCGUAGGCGGCUUUGUAAGUUAGAGGUGAAAGCCCGGGGCUCAACUCCGGAACUGCCUUUAAGACUGCAUCGCUUGAAUCCGGGAGAGGUGAGUGGAAUUCCGAGUGUAGAGGUGAAAUUCGUAGAUAUUCGGAAGAACACCAGUGGCGAAGGCGGCUCACUGGAC